UAGAAGGGGAGCCAAAAACAAAAUGAAACAGGGUCCAUUCAGCCUGGGUAGGAGGCAGGUAUUACUUCAUAAUACAGAAGUCAUGGCUACAAAACUCACAGGGCAGAUCUCCAAGAUCACAGUGUCUGCCAGGCAGAAGAUGGUGAAAGCAUGAAACAGCCACAACCUUCUUCCAUGAGGGCAUGAGGCAAGAUGGUUAGAGACCGCAGAUGACCAGUAGUCAUUUGUAUUGAGGACACAGCAAAGAGCAUCUGCCUGGCUGUGGAGACACCUGACAUAACCAGGACAUCCAAAGAAGUUUGCUGCAUAGCAGCACUUUAGACAUCUCCAGGAGAGAGAGCAGCAUUCAUUUGAAGCAGGCAGUAAGCGAGAGAUGUGUUCAUCUUCAUCAUGGCCCACUGGACAAGGCCCAGUGUGUGAACUCAGAAACAGACCUGACAAGUCCUUGCACAGGUAAAGCAGGAAGGAAUGCAAGCAUUUUUAUGUCCUUUCUGACCUUUUCAUACAUUUUUACAG
ensembl:lncRNA